rnacentral:rRNA from 1 species
GGAUGAACGCUGGCGGCGUGCCUACUACAUGCAAGUCGAGCGAACAGAUGAGGAGCUUGCUCCUCUGACGUUCGCGGCGGACGGGUGAGUAACACGUGGAUAACCUACCUAUAAGACUGGGAUAACUUCGGGAAACCGGAGCUAAUACCGGAUAAUAUAUUGAACCGCAUGGUUCAAUAGUGAAAGACGGUUUUGCUGUCACUUAUAGAUGGAUCCGCGCCGCAUUAGCUAGUUGGUAAGGUAACGGCUUACCAAGGCGACGAUGCGUAGCCGACCUGAGAGGGUGAUCGGCCACACUGGAACUGAGACACGGUCCAGACUCCUACGGGAGGCAGCAGUAGGGAAUCUUCCGCAAAGGGCGAAAGCCUGACGGAGCAACGCCGCGUGAGUGAUGAAGGUCUUCGGAUCGUAAAACUCUGUUAUUAGGGAAGAACAAAUGUGUAAGUAACUAUGCACGUCUUGACGGUACCUAAUCAGAAAGCCACGGCUAACUACGUG